rnacentral:miRNA from 1 species
GCGGAUUGAGAAUCUCUCUCUCUCUCUCUCUCUCUCUCUCUCUCUUUAUUUAUAUAUAUAUAUAUAUAUAUAUAUAUAUAUAUAUAUAUAUAUAGAGAGAGAGAGAGAGAGAGAGAGAGAGAGAGAGAGAGAGAGAGAGAGAGAGAUUUUGCUUUCCA